rnacentral:rRNA from 1 species
CCUACGGGUGGCAGCAGUGGGGAAUAUUGCACAAUGGGGGAAACCCUGAUGCAGCGACGCCGCGUGAGUGAAGAAGCGCCUCGGCGCGUAAAGCUCUGUCGGCAGGAACGAUUAUGACGGUAUCUCAAGAAGAAGCCCCGGCUAACUUAGUGCCAGCAGCCGCGGGAAUACGUAGGGGGCAAGCGUUAUACGGAUUUACUGGGUGUAAAGGGAGCGUAGACGGCGGGGCAAGUCUGGAGUGAAAGGCCGGGGCCCAACCCCGGGACCGCACCGGAAACUGCCCGGAUGGAGUGCGGGAGAGGUAAGCGGAAUUCCUAGUGUAGCGGUGAAAUGCGUAGAUAUGAGGAGGAACACCAGCGGCGAAGGCGGCUUACUGGACCGUGACUGACGUUGAGGCUCGAAAGCGUGGGGAGCAAACAGGAUUAGAUACCCGAGUAGUC